AUGGGAUGUUUUAGAAUUUCCAAAAAGACCUGCAAAAAGAUCACAAGUAUUGUUGCAAGAUUCUUGUGGGGAGGUGAUGAAAAUAAAAAGAAAAUGCAUUGGAAAAAGUGGAAGGACAUAGCUAUCCCAAAAUGUGAGGGCGGAACGGGCUUCAGAGAUUUUGGCCUUUUUAAUAAAGCCAUGCUGGCUAAACAAGGGUGGAGGCUUCUGACCAACCCUGAAUCACUUUGUGCAAAGGUGCUUAAAGGCCGAUACUAUGAUAAUUCAGAUUUCUUGGCAGCUACAAAAAAGAGGAACUCCUCUCAUACUUGGAGGGCAAUACUACAUGGGAGAGAAUGCCUGAAUCUAGGGGUGAUUAAACGUGUUGGGGAUGGUGCGAGUAUUAACAUCUGA
rnacentral:rRNA from 1 species